UGAGGAAUAUUCCACAAUGGGCGAAAGCCUGAUGGAGCAAUGCCGCGUGCAGGAUGAAGGCCUUCGGGUUGUAAACUGCUUUUAUAUGAGAAGACUAUGACGGUAACAUAUGAAUAAGGACCGGCUAACUACGUG
rnacentral:rRNA from 1 species